AAAGAGGACAGUAUUUACCUUCCAUACGUCAUCGUGCUCACCUGGAACAACAAAACCGUCCACAAGACGUGUUGAUGUCCCUGAAGGCGUCCUCUGACAGUCAGAAGGUGAAAUUGACUUGGGUCCGAGGUUGCGAAGAGUCCCAGAGUGGGUGACACACUUGCCGUCAGCCGUGUGUAGCACAGAGGUGCCCACUGCCCUUCCUUCCACACAUUCCUUAGACCGUGUCCUGCUGUCUGAGGGAAUGGAUAACAGUGGCUGACACCCAGAAGAGGCUCUGAAAAUAUGGGACAAGUUGGGGGAAAAAUGCCUACUUAAAAGUUAAUUUCUAAAAUGAAAAAAAUGGUCUUCACUAUUUUUCUUAAAAUCAUUGUAACGCUUUUUUUUAAUGUCUUUCAGUUUUAGCAUUUCUAAGCAAUAAAAUGGACACAUGGUAUCUUAAAAA